rnacentral:rRNA from 1 species
CAGUCGCCGCGGUAACACGUAGGGGGCAAGCGUUGUCCGGAAUUAUUGGGCGUAAAGCGCGCGCAGGCGGUUUUUUAAGUCUGGUGUCUAAGCGCGGGGCUCAACCCCGUGACGCACUGGAAACUGGGAGACUUGAGUGCAGAAGAGGAGAGCGGAAUUCCACGUGUAGCGGUGAAAUGCGUAGAGAUGAGGAGGAACACCAGUGGCGAAGGCGGCUCUCUGGACUGUAACUGACGCUGAGGCGCGAAAGCGUGGGGAGCAAACAGGAUUAGAUACCCCUGUAGUCCCUGUCUCUUAUACA